rnacentral:rRNA from 1 species
AUUGAACGCUGGCGGCAGGCCUAACACAUGCAAGUCGAGCGAGCGGCGGACGGGUGAGUAAUGUAUGGGGACUGCCCGAUAGAGGGGGGUAACUACUGGAAAAGGUAGCUAAUACCGCAUACUAUCGGAUAACACCUAUGGGAGUGUCUAGUAGGUGAGGUAAUGGCUGACCUAGGGGACGAUCCCUAGCUGGUCUGGUAGGAGGAUCAGCCAAACGGGGACUGAGACACGGCCCAGACUCCUACGGAGGCAGCAGUGGGGAAUAGUGCACAAUGGGCGCAAGCCUGAUGCAGCCAUGCCGCGUGUAUGAAGAAGGCCCUAGGGUUGUAAAGUACUUUCAGUCGGGAGGCGUUACCGACAGAAGAAGCACCGGCUAACUCCGUGCCAGCAGCCGCGGUAAUAC